GAUGACAGAUCAAAGAUAGCCAAGCCUUCGGAAUCUUAAAGGUGUGUUCCAGGAAACCCUUAUCACUACUGUCGAGUCUAAUUCCAGUUGGUGGACCAACUGGGUGAUCCCAGCCAUCUCAGCCCUGGUGGUAGCUCUGAUGUAUCGCCUCUACAUGGCAGAAGAUUAACCUGUCUGUCCGAAGCCAAGGAAGGAAAAGACUGCCCCAGAGAGGGGAGAAAAGAAGCCAGUGUUAAUCACUUCCACUGACAGAAACCCUCCCCCUGAGAAUGUAAUUGUAAUAUAUCUGUCUCCCUCUCCUCCUAUGCUAGGAGAACAAACAUGGGACUCUUUGUACUCUUAAACUUUCAAAUGUGCCUUUUUACUCAACUUCAUUUUGACAUUUCUUCACUACGUAAUUUACUUAUUGUAAACAUGAUCUUUUUAAAAUAUAUCUGGCUUGUAAAGU
rnacentral:lncRNA from 1 species